AUUCAAUACACAAUAAGGUUCACCGGUCAACAUGUUUGUAUUCUUUAUCAUUUGUACGUUAACCUUUUCUGCCUCGGUUAAUGGAAUCCGUCAAUAUCAGACUUCAAUCCCCGAUUAUCUCAAAUGCCCAUAUGGAAAAUAUUACAAACACAUAGGUAAACCUCCCACCUGCAAUCCCCGACAACCCAUGUAAACUUGGAGAGCCUUACUCACGUAACGGUGACGCCCCUCAUUGCCUGGGUAAAUCUGCAAUCAGUUGUCCUCGUGGUUACACAUGUAUAGGAACUAAAACCUCUUCAUCAGUUUGCUGUAAAGGUUGCACCUACAGGGGCGAGUCGUAUUUUCCCACAGCCACAUUUUAUAACACGGAAGGAGAGAGAUGUACAUGUGGUGAGAAUGGAAAAGUCAGGUGUACAAAACCAGUCACUUGUAAAGGGGCUAAUGGCAAAGUAUACAAAGUUGGAGAAUCAUUCAAAGUUGACUGUAACACUUGUUCCUGCAGAUCCGAUGGUCGGAUCGUUUGUACGUUAAUAGAUUGUCCGAAAAAAUGCAAAUACUACGGCAAGGUGUAUACAGAAGGAGACAGAUUUCCAGCAAGGGACGGUUGUAACGAAUGUACUUGUAAAUAUGACGGCAGUGUAUCGUGUACAGAAAAAGCUUGUGGAUACGGCAAAUAGGUCUCUACAAAUUUUCUCUUUCAAAACAAAACUGUUCCCCAAUUCAUGACUUAUACGAAUGUCCUCUUUGCAUGUUAAUUUGUGAGUUUGUUCGUAUGUGAAAUUUUGUUUUUCAUAAUUUAUACUGAUGUGUGUACAAUAAAUAUGACAACAAUU
rnacentral:misc_RNA from 1 species